rnacentral:rRNA from 1 species
CCUACGGGUGGCAGCAGUGGGGAAUAUUGGACAAUGGGGGGAACCCUGAUCCAGCCAUGCCGCGUGUGUGAAGAAGGCCCUCGGGUUGUAAAGCACUUUCAGUGAGGAAGAACGCCUGGUGGUUAAUACCCGUCAGGAAAGACAUCACUCACAGAAGAAGCACCGGCAAACUCCGUGCCAGCAGCCGCGGUAAUACGGAGGGUGCGAGCGUUAAUCGGAAUUACUGGGCGUAAAGCGCGCGUAGGUGGCUUGAUAAACCGGUUGUGAAAGCCCCGGGCUCAACCUGGGAACGGCAUCCGGAACUGUCAAGCUAGAGUGCAGGAGAGGAAGGUAGAAUUCCCGGUGUAGCGGUGAAAUGCGUAGAGAUCGGGAGGAAUACCAGUGGCGAAGGCGGCCUUCUGGACUGAAACUGACACUGAGGUGCGAAAGCGUGGGUAGCAAACAGGAUUAGAUACCCUAGUAGUC